UACGAGGGGUGCUAGCGUUGCUCGGAAUUAUUGGGCGUAAAGGGUAGGUAGGUGGUCUCAUUUGUCUCAUGUGAAAGCCUUGAGCUUAACUCAAGAAGUGCGUGAGAAACGGUGAGACUAGAGUACUGGAGAGGCUAGUGGAAUUCCCGGUGUAGCGGUGAAAUGCGUAGAGAUCGGGAGGAACACCAGAGGCGAAGGCGGCUAGCUGGACAGUAACUGACACUCAACUACGAAAGCGUGGGGAGCAAACAGG
rnacentral:rRNA from 1 species